CCCUUAGAUGUCCGGGGCCGCACGCGCGCUACACUGAAGGAAUCAGCGUGGCUUUCUCCCUGACCCGAAAGGGUUGGGAAACCCGUUGAAUCUCCUUCGUGAUAGGGAUUGGGGCUUGAAAUUGUUCCCCAUGAACGAGGAAUUCCCAGUAAGCGCGAGUCAUAAGCUCGCGUUGAUUACGUCCCUGCCCUUUGUACACACCGCCCGUCGCACCUACCGAUUGAAUGACUCGGUGAAAAAUUGGGACCGUGAGUCUGUUUGCUCCAUUGCGAGUGGAUUGAUGGGAACUUUUUUAAACCUCGCCAUUUAGAGGAAGGUGAAGUCGUAACA
rnacentral:rRNA from 1 species